rnacentral:rRNA from 1 species
GACGAACCGUGCGAACGUUAUUCGGAAUCACUGGGCUUAAAGGGCGCGUAGGCGGGUCUGCAAGUCAGGGGUGAAAGCCCACGGCCCAACCGUGGAAGUGCCUUUGAUACUGCGGGUCUGGAGGGGGAUAGGGGCGUGCGGAACUUGGGGUGGAGCGGUGAAAUGCGUAGAUAUCCCAAGGAACACCGGUGGCGAAGGCGGCGCGCUGGAUCCCUACUGACGCUGAGGCGCGAAAGCCAGGGGAGCGAACGGG